UACGUAGGGUGCGAGCGUUGUCCGGAAUUAUUGGGCGUAAAGGGCUCGUAGGCGGUCUGUUGCGUCAGGAGUGAAAAACUCGGGGCUUAACCCCGAGCCUGCUUCUGAUACGGGCAGACUAGAGGUAUGCAGGGGAGAACGGAAUUCCUGGUGUAGCGGUGAAAUGCGUAGAUAUCUGGAGGAACACCGGUGGCGAAGGCGGCAUCCUGGACCGAGAUUGACGCUGAGGCGCGAAAGCCAGGGGAGCAAACGGG
rnacentral:rRNA from 1 species